rnacentral:snoRNA from 1 species
UCUACCUUGAGAGGUGUUGCAGGUGUGGUUGCUGUGUCACAUAUGUGUCAGUAGGUGGCAGAGAGGAGAGAGGCUAUGUCCACAUGAUGAGUAGCCUAACACC